rnacentral:rRNA from 1 species
UACGAAGGGGGCUAGCGUUGUUCGGAAUUACUGGGCGUAAAGCGUGCGCAGGCGGCCAUCCAAGUCAGUGGAGAAAGCCCGGAGCUCAACUCCGGAAUUGCCAUUGAAACUGUUUGGCUCGAGUACGAGAGAGGUGAGUGGAAUUCCCAGUGUAGCGGUGAAAUGCGUAGAUACUGGGAGGAACACCAGUGGCGAAGGCGGCUACCUGGACCGGUUCUGACGCUGAGGCGCGAAAGCGUGGGUAGCAAACAGG